rnacentral:rRNA from 1 species
UUCCCCUUCGGGGGCAAAGUGACAGGUGGUGCAUGGUUGUCGUCAGCUCGUGUCGUGAGAUGUUGGGUUAAGUCCCGCAACGAGCGCAACCCUUAUUGUUAGUUGCCAUCAUUUAGUUGGGCACUCUAGCAAGACUGCCGGUGACAAACCGGAGGAAGGUGGGGAUGACGUCAAAUCAUCAUGCCCCUUAUGACCUGGGCUACACACGUGCUACAAUGGGAAGUACAACGAGUCGCAAAGUCGCGAGGCUAAGCUAAUCUCUUAAAGCUUCUCUCAGUUCGGAUUGUAGGCUGCAACUCGCCUACAUGAAGCCGGAAUCGCUAGUAAUCGCGGAUCAGCACGCCGCGGUGAAUACGUUCCCGGGCCUUGUACACACCGCCCGUCACACCACGAGAGUUUGUAACACCCGAAGUCGGUGAGGUAACCUUUUGGAGCCAGCCGCCUAAGGUGGGAUAGAUGAUUGGGGUGAAGUCGUAACAAGGUAGCCGUAUCGGAAGGUGCGGCUGGAUCACCUCCUUU